rnacentral:rRNA from 1 species
AACGUAGGGGGCUAGCGUUGUUCGGAAUUACUGGGCGUAAAGCGCACGUAGGCGGAUUAGUCAGUCAGGGGUGAAAUCCCGGGGCUCAACCUCGGAACUGCCUUUGAUACUGCUGAUCUCGAGUCCGGAAGAGGUGAGUGGAAUUCCUAGUGUAGAGGUGAAAUUCGUAGAUAUUAGGAAGAACACCAGAGGCGAAGGCGGCUCACUGGUCCGGUACUGACGCUGAGGUGCGAAAGCGUGGGGAGCAAACAGG